rnacentral:rRNA from 1 species
ACAAGCAGCGGAGCGUGUGGUUUAAUUCGAUGCUACACGAAGAACCUUACCAGGGUUUGACAUGCAAGUGGUAGGAACCGAAAGGUGACCGACCCUUCGGGGAGCUUGCACAGGUGCUGCAUGGCUGUCGUCAGCUCGUGUCGUGAGAUGUUCGGUUAAGUCCGCUAACGAGCGCAACCCUCGCUGUGUGUUAUAUGUGUCACACGGGACUGCCGGUCUUAAGCCGGAGGAAGGUGGGGAUGAUGUCAAGUCAGCAUGGCCUUUAUAUCCUGGGCUACACACACGCUACAAUGGCCAGCACAGUAGGUUGCUAAGCCGCGAGGUGGAGCCAAUCCAUAAAGCUGGUCUCAGUUCAGAUUGCAGGCUGCAACCCGCCUGCAUGAAGAUGGAGUUGCUAGUAACCGCAGGUCAGCUAUACUGCGGUGAAUACGUUCCCGGGUCUU